GGGCCCGCACAAGCGGUGGAGCAUGUGGUUUAAUUCGAUGAUACGCGAGGAACCUUACCAGGGCUUAAAUGUAGUGGGACAGGUCUAGAGAUAGACCCUUCUUCGGACUCAUUACAAGGUGCUGCAUGGUUGUCGUCAGCUCGUGCCGUGAGGUGUCAGGUUAAGUCCUAUAACGAGCGCAACCCCUAUCGUUAGUUGCCAGCGGGUAAUGCCGGGAACUCUAGCGAAACUGCCGGUGCAAACCGAGAGGAAGGUGGGGAUGACGUCAAAUCAUCACGGCCCUUACGUCCUGGGCUACACACGUGCUACAAUGGCCGGUACAGAGAGCAGCCACUACGCGAGUAGGAGCGAAUCUAUAAAACCGGUCUCAGUUCGGAUCGGGGUCUGCAACUCGGCCCCGUGAAGCUGGAAUC
rnacentral:rRNA from 1 species